GUGUCAGCGCCCCGGUAAUAACGGCAGCUCCAGUGAUGACCGAUUUUAUUGGGCCUAAAGCGUCCGUAGCUGGCCAGGCAAGUCCGUUGGGAAAUCCACCUGCUCAAAAGGUGGGCGUCCAGCGGAAACUGCUUGGCUUGGGACCGGAAGAUCCAAGGGGUACGUCCGGGGUAGGAGUGAAAUCCUGUAAUCCUGGACGGACCGCCGAUGGCGAAAGCACCUUGGAAGGACGGAUCCGACAGUGAGGGACGAAAGCUUGGGUCUCGAACCGGAUUAGAUACCCGCGUAGUCC
rnacentral:rRNA from 1 species